rnacentral:lncRNA from 1 species
AUGGCACUCGAGGUGCAGCUCUCCCUUUUGCCGUCGCCCCACCGCUCGCUAGAGCCGGCGGCCGCCGCCGCGGGGGAGGUAGUGACGGCGAGGAGCUCGGCGGCGGGCGUGAUGAGCAUGAGGGAGAGCGGGAACGCGCCUCGCCGGUGGAGCCGGAGCGGUAGGUGGUGGGCAUGGUUGGGGAGCGCGAGCGGCUCGGUGGGCGACCCGUGCAGCGCGUCCACCAAUGGCGCCGCCACCACAAGCUGGAGGUGCGCCGACGCGAGCUUCUCGAAGGCGUCGCGCCGCCACGUGCUGUGUCGCUGUGGUCUUGCCCCGUGCGAGCAGCAGCCGCGGCGGCCGACGGCGCACAGCGUCUCUCCGCCUCAAGCGAAGCUGAGAUGCCUUCGUUCGCUCUCUCUUUUGGUUAUCACGCCUGGUACCUAGGUAUCAGACC